GGAGAAUCACUUGAACCUGGGAGGCGGAGGUUGUGGUGAGCCAAGGGGAAACAAGAGUGAAACUCCAUCUCAAAAAAAAAAAAAAUAAUAAUAAUAAUAAUAAUAAUAAUAAUAAUAAAUACAUACAUAAAUAUAUAAAUGAAUAAAUGUUGGACUGAAUUUGUCAUGGACAACUCAUCUUUUCCCUAACCAAUCUCCUGGAUUGAAGGGAUUGAAGAUUCAGAAGAUACUCCUUUCCCCAAAGCCUUGGGAAAUUCAUUGCUGAGGGGUGCAUCUUUAAAAAGUUUUAGUUUUAGUUUGCUAUGGCUACCAUGACAAAGUCCCACAAAUUGAGUGUCUAAAACAACAGAAAAUGUAUUGUUUCACAGUUCCAGGGGUUAGAAGUCUGAGAUCAGGGUGUUCGCAGGCCAAUGUUCUCUCUGAAGACACUAGGUUAUAUUAGAUUAGGGGCCAUCCUACUGCAGUCUAACUUUGUCUUAACUUAUUACAUCUGCAAUGACCUUAUUUCCACAUAAGGUCACAUUCUGAAGUACUAGGGGUUAGAACUUCAACAUAUAAAUUGGUGGGGGGUGCAUAGUAAGCACCAUGGUCACUCUUCUCCAUAGGUUAGGGGUUCUAGACUCUUCUCCAUAGGUUAGGGGUUCUAGACUCUUCUCCAUAGGUUAGGGAUUCUAGUGGGAGACACUAGAGUUGAAAUGGCUCCUUGAUUGCUUUUUUUUUUUUGAGGCGGAGUCUCACUCUGUCACCCAGGCUGGAGUGCAAUGGCGCGAUCUUGGCUCACCGCAACCUCCACCUCCCGGGUUCAAGCAAUUCUCCUGCCUCAGCCUCCACCAGUAGCUAGGAUUAUAGGCAUGCACCACCAGGCCCAGAUAAUUUUUUUGUAUUUUUAGUAGAGACAGGGUUUCACCGUGUUGGCUAGGCUGGUCUCAAACUCCUGACCUCAAAUGAUCCACCCACCUCAGCCUCCCAAAGUGCUGAGAUUACAGGCGUGAGCCACCGCACCAAGCCAGCUCCUUGAUUUCAAUGCAGAUACAAGGAGUCUGGGGUGACAAGGGUCAAGCAGCAGUGUUGAGCUGCCAGAGGAGAGAGAGGAGCACAGACUGGGAAUGCAGGAUUUACAGGUUAUCUGAAUGGUCAGACCUGGAGGGAUCUUUAGCAACCUGCAGGAAUCUUUAGCAAUAGGGACCCGAUCACCAGACCCCUAGUACCAAAAUAGAUGGAGAGGCCAGUAGAGUCCCACCUAUAUAACAAGAGAGUGUGAGGUCCAACUGACAGAGACUCUACUGCAACAGAGAGGAAACCCUCACCAAUUUUCUAGAUAAAAAUCAGUUUGCAAACUCAGGGGCCCCUGAACGAGGUGGGGCAUGCACCCUUAAGGAGGGCCCUGUAAAAACAGCACAGAUUCAUCCUGGCAUUUUCCUCACAAUCUCCCCAAAGAGACCUGUGGCCACAAGCCAGGUGUGGCAGAUAUACUUGUGGUCUACCACAAAGCCAUUUUUCACUUUUCUGUUUUUUGAGACAGAGUCUCGCUCUGUCACUCAUGCUGGAGUGCAGUGGCAAAAUCAUAGCUCACUGCAGCCUCAACUUACUGGGCUCAAGCGGUCCUCCCCCCCUCAGACUCCUGAGUAGCUGGGAUUACAGGCACGCACCACCAUGCCCAGCUAAGUUUUUGAUCUUUUUGUAGAGACAAGGUCUCAUUAUGCUGCCCAGGCUAAUCUCAAAUGAUUACAGCCAUGAGCCGCUGUACCCCACCUCAUUUUUCACUUUUAAUAAAAUAGUUUUGCCAAUACAGUGGUACGUGCUUGUAAUCCCAGCUACUCAGGAGGCUGAGGCAGGAGGAUCGCUUGGUCAUGAGUUCAUAACCAGCCAGAGCUACAGAGCAAGAUCCUGUUUUUGUUUUUGCCUUUGAGAGAGGGUCUUAUUUUGUCGCCCAGGUUGCAGUGGCCUGACCCCGGCUCACUGCAACCUCCAACUUCUGGGCUCAAGUAUUCUCUUGUCUCAGCCUCCCAAGUAGCUAGGACUGUAGACACGUGCCACCACACUUAGUCAUUUGAAAAUUUUUUUUGUAGAGAUAGGGUCUCAUUAUGCUCCCCAGGCUGGUCUCAAACUCCUGGGCUCACACAACUCUCCCACCUCGGCCUCUUAAAGCACUGGGAUUACAGGUGUGAACUACUGUGUUCGGUGCAAGACCCCGUUUUUACAAAAAUAAGAUAAAAUAGUUUCGUUUAAACAAUAAUGUACCCAGUAAUGAUCAGUCUAAACCAAAUAUGGCAACACUCUUCUCUGCAAGUAAGAAGUAUUAUAUAUAUAUUUUUAGAUAUAAAUCCAAUAUUGCUGAAACCUACCUAUGUCUUUGCAACAAUAUUUGAUUCUAUCCAAAUAUUAUCUGAUCCUUUCAAGCUCAUUCUUAUUGGUGUAAGAAAAAAUGAAAAUAGCCAGGUGCAGUGGCUCACGCCUGUAAUCACAGCACUUUGGGCGGCCAAGGCGGGCAGAUCACCUGAGGUCAGGAGUUCUAGACAAGCCUGAACAACAUGAA
rnacentral:lncRNA from 1 species